rnacentral:tRNA from 1 species
GCGGAUGUAGCUUGACGGUCGAGCAUUGGUCUUCCAGGCCGAAGGUGUAGGUUCAAUUCCUGCCAUCCGCU